AUAUAUGCAUAUACGUGUGUGUGUGUGUGUGUGUGUGUGUGUGUGUGUAUAUAUAUAUAUAUAUAUACACACACACACACAUAUAUACUGUACACAUACAUAUACAUGUAU